GUGAUCACUUUGGCAGCAUAUACACUAAAACUGGAAUGAUAGAGAAGAUUAGCAUAGCCCCUGUGCAAGGAUGACAUGCAAAUUCAUGAAGCAUUCUGUAUUUUU